AUUUAUUUUCUAUUAAUGUAUAAUGCCAACGCAUAUUUUCUACUUCUAUUUGUGUGAAAAUGAAGGCAUGAAUAAAUUUGUAGCAGUUUAAAUUGACUGGAAAAAAUUGUAUGUAAUAUUGCCAGAAGAAGUCAGGUUACAGAUUAGUUAACUAUUAUCUUGCCAUUUUAUUUAUAAAGAGAAAUACAAAACAAGGUGUUCUUUACUCAGGAAAGAACUGGAGUUUAUCAUAAACAAUGGUUGUUUAAUAUUUGUUGUGCAUCAGCUAACAAUAUACCAAGAUCUGUAUGUAUCUAUUUAUCUGUCCAAUCUUCAGAUGGCAAAAUGAAUCUAGGAGAGUACAACCACAUUUAUACUGUAUACAAACUGAAAUAAUGUGCAGAAUCUAAUACGGAAGGAAUUCAAGAUUUCAGGUCUGCAGGAUGUAUCCUGCUGGCUAAUCCAAACAGAUAAAAAACAGAUCUGGGGAUUCAACUGCCUUGAGCCACCCAGAGCACAUACAGUGCAUCAAGCUGGACUUUAUCGCCACCUCUCACCCUGGGCUAACAGGAGACAGUAUUAUCUCUUUCAGUAGUCCAAUCCAAUGUCCCGGAUCCCUGAGUCCUUUGCUUCAGAGCCAGGCUUUUUAAAGUAUUUACAUGCAUAACUCCCUUUAACCUCAGAGGGUUUCAUAAUGUAGGCACCAAAGCACCUUAACCGUCUCCUUUAUCAGUGUUUUUGAUUGAGAAAGGUAAGUUUGGAUUUGGCUCAUGAGUCAGUAACUCUUCACUAGCCUGUUUUUUCUUACUAUUUUUGCUAUUUAUUUGUCUUUCAGUAGUAGAGCAUGGAGAACCCCUGGCUGCAACAGGAGCUAGCAAAUUCUGGGUGAGAUAGUUCCUCUCUGAAGAUCACUGCCAUUUCUGCAUUUCCCCCCCAGGAGCAGAGCAAGGAUUAAUUUAAUCUAUGUUUAUUUAAGAUUGGCUGUGCAUUGCCCCAGGGCACUGACUGGCUUGCGGCCAGGCAUGGACAGAUGUGCGCCAGAGCUGACUGCAGGCUCCUCGCCUUCUGAAAGCUGGGUUUCUACAUGCUUCACAAAACCAAGGGCAUUGAGGACCCCCCAGGCAAUCAAAAGGCACCUAGCAGGUGUCUGUGGCGCUGUAAGGACCUUGCAGAAAGGACAUAAGGUUGCAAAGUCCUUUCUCUCUGGACUAAGCAUGGCUGGAGUCACAAACAGGAGUAAAACAACCCAGAAAGAUGCUCCUGCUAGGGCUGGCAGAGAGAGAAAAACCUUCUGAAGCCGGGAAAGGGAGAGAUCUCGUCCAGGGUUCAGGGUGCUUCUUUCCUCUGCACUGACUUCAACCAUCCUCUGGAGAUGGAGACCAGAAGAGAGGCAGGAGAAGGAGCCAUGUUGUGUCUUGCUUCCUGUGUGGUUUCCUUUCCUUGCCCAUCACUUUCGUUAUCCAGAAUUUACUUUUCUGCUAGUCUACUAAUGUUAGCUCAGCAGCUCUGGCACUUUCCAAAGACACUUAGAGACCUUAGCCUCACGCUAGAGUUUUUUCUCCAGUCCAAAACACCACCUGUGUAAACCUCCCAGUCCUCUUUCUGAUGAGAAAACUGCUACGUUUUCAGGUAUAACACCCAGGUGGUAAAUAGCAACCAAAUGGCAAUUGCGGAACACAAGAUGUCUGGUCUCUCUUGUGAGAAAAGCAUGAGCUACUACUAAGAGCACCUACCAGAAGCUUGCUAGUACUUCAGCCACAGUGAGACAAACUCAGCUUUACUGUCUACCAUGAGGAACCUGGCUUUGGAGAAGUUUAUAAAAGUUAUGAGAUAUUUUUAUCCUCCACAUCUCUUUCUUCAAGAUGCUAUUGAAACUAGAAGACAAACACUUUGGAUGAUGAUAAAUGGGAACGGGAACAAGGCACUUGAUCUGUAAUUUUACGGAAAAAUUCCAUUAUUAUUUAGAGAUUCCUGGAUGGAUGAAGGCCUGAAAAGUCACCUGGUAAAUGAUGUUUUGAAAAGCAACUACAGGGCUGUCACUCUAUAGCUUGAAGUCACAAGCAAAAAAUGGCUUAUAUAGAAGAAAAAGCCCUUUUUUCUGAGGAGAUAGGAAGGCUGACAGAACCUCUGCUAUGGCUGAGGAACAAAUGAAUACAGAAGAAAAUAGUUACAGAACCCAUUACAAGAUGAAAUUAUUAAUAUUAACUGUAGUCAAGAGUCAGAAUGGUGAAUGAGGGAAAUAUACUGGAAGAAAAAACUGAAUAAAUCCAAGAAAGACUACAUGAACUUUACUUGACUCUGAUAAAUCUUUCUGGCAGCUUUCAAAUAUCUGUGGCAAUUUGUAUGGAACCAAAUGGAAAAUUAAGCAAAGACUUUAUUCCUUGCAUAUUCAAAAACUGAUAAUAAUUUCUUUUGGUGUUUUAUUAUUGCCGUAGAUUACAUUUCUUGUAUACUACUUGAAUGGAACCCUUUUGACCAUGGAGGGAAUCAAAACAGCUUAUCUGAAGCUCUGAUUAAUAAAAAUCUCCCUUUGUGUGGAAGUGUUGCCUAACUUUCAAAAUGGAAAUUAAAAACCUGAAUUUCGCA